UCGAGAAUCUUCGGCAAUGCGCGAAAGCGUGACCGAGCGACGCCGCGUGUGGGAUGAAGGCCCUCGGGUUGUAAACCACUGUCGUAGGGGAGGAAGGCUCCGUGAAGAGCGGGGUUUGACCUAUCCUAGGAGGAAGGCCGGGCUAAGUUCGUGCCAGCAGCCGCGGUAAGACGAACCGGCCAAACGUUAUUCGGAAUUAUUGGGCUUAAAGGGUGCGUAGGCGGUGCGGUCAGUCGGGUGUGAAAUCCCUCGGCUCAACCGAGGAAUUGCGCCCGAUACUACCGUGCUUGAGGGAGACAGAGGUGAGCGGAACUGAUGGUGGAGCGGUGAAAUGCGUUGAUAUCAUCAGGAACACCAGUGGCGAAAGCGGCUCGCUGGGUCUCUUCUGACGCUGAGGCACGAAAGCUAGAGUAGCGAACGGGAUUAGAUACCCCGGUAGUCCUAGCCGUAAACGAUGAGCACUUGACUGAGGAUCCCCCAUAGGUUCUUGGUCGAAGCG
rnacentral:rRNA from 1 species